rnacentral:misc_RNA from 1 species
UAAAGCAGUAUCAACGGUUUGUUUCCUGGUUGUAUCGCAACAGCCGCUGUUCCUCUUCUCUGCCUGCCUCGCCGUGCUGCAUGCUGUGUCUGCCCACCUUUUCCCUCUCCCUCUCGAUCCAUCAAGCUCCUCGAACACGAGCAAGCACAUACUCCCCGCGGCUCUAAUCAACGCUUUCCAGUGUCAAACAUAAGGGGCCGGACCCUACCACAACUACCACGCACGCGCCUCACCACCCACGCGGACACCACCCUUCUGCCCGCUUCUUAAUCAUCAUCGAGCGAGACAGAACUGCCUAUUCCUUUGUUGCGUGUUCGCUGCGUCCACUUCCCUCCACCCCUUUCUCCUCCGCCAACCGCACGGGCCGCGUCAGCGUCUUCUCUCGACAUGCCUCGCCGCUCCGGUCCACAGAUCAAGCGCGCCAGCGACAAGGAGAAUAAGGAUGGCGCUGCGAGGCUCAAUGACGCCGCAAAGGUAAAGGUGGCCAUACCGGCGACGGUUGAUGAGCAGUGGUCAACCAAAAAGCAAGGAGGUAACGUGCUGCACUGGCUGGCGCAGAAGACCGACGCGGCCGCGCCGGCACCCACCUCGCGCGGUGCGGUGGAGUACUUGAACCAGGCCAAGAAGCCAAAGAGCUACGCAGCAGCGGCUGCACCGAUCGCCGCCAAGGCGAAACCGGGCGCACCGGCGGAAAAGCCGGCAGAGAAGGCAACCGAAAAGCCGGCCGUCAAGGCACCUCGAAGCGCGCUAGCCAAAGAGGCCGUGAAGGCUGGCAGGAAGGACAACGCGAAGGAGACGCCAAAGGAGGCCCCUAAGGCGGAAACGCGGCCGGCAGCCGCACCCGAAGUUACCGCCGAGUCCAGCGGAGUGCCAAAGCCUCGCUCAAAGGCGGCUCCCGUAGCGUCACCAGAGCAAAAGCAACCGGAUGACGCUGUCAGCAAACUGGCUCAGCUGUUUCCCGCGAAGGCAACGAGUACGCCGUCGAUCACCGCAAAGCCUGCUGACGAGCCGGAGAAGGCCGUCGAGGCCCCGACAUCGGCGACAACAGCCGUGCCCUCGAUGCCAGUCCCGAGGUCUUCUGUAUCGGCACCGGCGAAUGCGAUCAGACCGGAAGGUCCGCCUCCUAGGCGGGUGCGCGGACGCCGUCGCGACGAGGACCGUCUCAUGCGCGCGCACCAGCGCAUGGAGGAGGAGCAGGAGAGUGCGCAGCGCCGGCACGAAGAGGCCAUGCGCACCGAUGCCGAAUACAAGCAGCGCUUCGAGACGAUGCAGGAGAUGCAGGCGGCCAUGCAGAUGUCGCACGCAGAGUUCUUUGACAAGUACAGCCGCCAGGAGACGCUGCUGCUGAACCACGUGGUGACGGAGCGGCUCGACAUGCCGGUCAUCCUCGACCUCAUCGAGCAGCACGACGUCGUGUUCAUCUGCACCGACACUGGCAGCGGCAAGAGCACCGGCGUCCCCAAGGCAUUGCUUGAGCUGUCGCCGGACACCAAGGUGGUCAGCACGCAGCCGCGUCGCACCGCGACAGUGGCGAUUGCCAACCGCGUAGCGAGUCUUCGCCGCGAGAGCGUCGGCGAGGACGUUGGCUACUGGAUACGCGGCGACAAGAAGGGCGAUGAGCAGACCCGUUUGUGGUACAUGACGAGCUACACCCUGCUGCUGCGCAUUCUCGAGAACCCGGCAGAGCUGCCGUUCACGCACAUUGUGCUAGAUGAGUUCCACGAGCGACAGCCAGAUCUUGAGGUGACAGUGGCGCUGCUGCGGUUGGCGCUGCUCAACAAGUUGUCGCACUUCAAGCUGGUGCUCAUGAGCGCCACCCUCAACACGGAGGACUGGGAGGAGUACUUUGCCGGCCUCCGCGUCGCCACGUACAAGCAGAGCGAGCCGGAGCACCCUAUUCACGACUACUUCCUGGAGGACACCUGCACCCUGCUCGGCACGGACUACCAGGCCCCGCCGCAGCUGGUGUCGCGCGGUGUUGUGGACAAGAGCACCGUGGACAAACACUUCUACCUGGCACAGAACUUGAUUUUCUUUCUCAACAGCUGCUCGAACCCAGUGCACUCCAUCCUUGUGUUCCUGCCGGGAAGGGCGCAGGUAGAGACGAUGAGCACGUGGCUCCACACACAGCUAUAUCACCGCGUCGACGCGGUGCCGUGGCACCGCGCCGUGAACCUGAGCGAGAUCGAGGCGGCAAUGAAGCGUAACAUACCGGGGCGGCAGAAGGUAUACCUCGCCACCGAUAUCGCCGAGGUAUCCAUCACGCUGCCGGACGUGGUCUACGUCAUCGAUCUGGUGCUGGUGAAGCGGCCAAAGAUUUCGAAGGAGUUGCCGGCUUCCAUCCAGUACCCCCCUCUAGUCACGCAGUGGAUCUCGCGCGGCAGCGUAGCGCAGCGCCGGGGCCGCGUCGGCCGCGUGCAACAGGGCUUCUACUUCUGCCUGUUCCCUGCUGCUCAAAUUACGGACCUGCCGGCCUACUCCCAGCCGCCAAUUGAGAACUCCCGGAUCGACGAGCUUUCGCUGCACUGCCUACAGGUGGUGAACAACCCGGUGGCCAUCUUCAGCCUGUGCCACGGCCAACCCCUCGUGGAGGCGAUUGCGUCGUCCAUGAACAUGCUCACGCAGCUCGGCUGCAUCCUCGACGCGAAGGACCCCCUCUCCGCCGGGGAGCGCAUCGAGGAGAUAUACAGCCAUCAGAACGAGUCGUGGAGCCGCAUGAUCAUGACAGCGGCCCAAGCGGAGGUGAUGACGGACAUUCCGGAGUACCAAUACACGUUCAUUGGCCGCAUUCUGCAGCUCAUCCCGGUCUCCCCGCAGCCUGGAAUGCUUGUCUUCUUCGGCUUCCUCACAGGGCUCGAGUCUCUCAUGAUCCUCGCCGCCGCCGUGACGAGCAGCCUCUCGCCAUUCAGCAUCAACGCCAGCGAAGGCCUGCAACGGCACUUCAACGUCGCGCGCGCGAUGGAGGAGACGGAGAACGUCAUGCGUGAUUUUUGCUGCGGGCUGCGCAGCGACAUUGUAGCCGUGAUGAAGGCCACCCUGCUCUUCCGCGUGGAACAGCAGCGGCACUGCGAUAGCGUGGAGACGGUGCGCCACUGGUGUCUUCAGAAACACCUCAGCUACGACAAGCUGAUGGCCAUUGUAGACCUGGAGAGCCACAUCAAGUACGAGCUCGCGGAGUUCAUGCCGUUCCGCAGCAUCGUUGAGGCGGAGAAGCUGUUGGAACAGCUGGACAAGCUUGCCUUGAUGGUGGCAGUCAUGACGAACGUCGCCUUCGUCGCGCAGUCGCUGGAGGUGACAAGCGAGGGCAAUUCCUACACGAACUCCAAGGAGAUGGCGCUCGGCAUCUUCAGCGACCUCACCGCCGUGCCCGACAUCCACUCGCCGAGCUGCCUGCGGUGGCAGGAAGGCGACAUCAUUAUCCCUGUGCAGCUGAACCUUAUCUUCGACAAGCUGCUCGCAAGCUUCUCGACGGCCAUCGCGUCGCCGAAGCAGUUCUGGAUUUCGCUGUUGCUCUUCUCGCAGCGAGUACAAUACGCAACCUUCAGCGACGACGAGGGCACCUUCCACGUCUUUGCGCUCUCGUACAGUGGUAAGGAGCGCUACGUGGAGGUGGACGAGAUUGCCGGUUACGUCGUGCUAGAGUUCCGCCGCAAGCUGUCGGCCAUCUGCGAGGUGCUGCGCCUGACCCACGCAAAUCGGCUCCUCUAUGAGGAUCACUUCAAUACGCUGCUCGGCAGCUACUCCCUGGCGCCGCUGCAGGACCUGCAGCGCGAGGUGAUCACGGCCCUCGUCUCCAUCUUUAACAACUUGGAGGGCAUGACCGCUGACGAGGUGGAACACGACGAGGACGACUUGGACCUGGUCUCGCUGCUGUCCUUCGCGCUGCCGACUCGCGCGCCGUGAAGACGGCGUUGGGGUGGCGCGUGACCUUGUCAGGGACGGCGGCUAGCGUCUGAGUUGAUUCGAUUCCCAUUGUUUCUGUUGUUGUUUUUCGGCGUGCGCUCACGUGUGCACAUGCGUGCGAAGAGAUCAGUGGAGUGGCAUCAGCAGCGCUCGCUGACACCUGUCCUCACUUCCUCCUGCCUACGCGUGGUGUGUCUGUGUCUGUGUCUGUGUCUGUCUCUCUGUUUGUCUCUCUGUGUGUGUGGAGGGGGGGCUUGUUGGUGCCGUGUGUUGUCGGUUUUGCUUUUGAGAAACGCCCGCCGUGCGCAUAACCAAAGACGAACGAAUGUGAAGCGCAGAGAGGAGCGACAUCUCCUCGGGCCGCUGCCAGACAUGUUCUCUACGUACGUUCGCCUUCGGAUGCUCGCGCACUGCCCUCCUCCUCGCACGAGAUGCGGACCGCUGCACACAGAGCUCAAAUCGUCACGCUCGUCAUUGUAUCUGCACAGGAGCGAGAACCG